AUCUUCGGCAAUGGGGGAAACCCUGACCGAGCAACGCCGCGUGAGUGAGGAAGGUCUUCGGAUCGUAAAGCUCUGUUGCCAGGGAAGAACGCCUGGGGGAUGGAAUGCCCCCAGGGUGACGGUACCUGAGAAGAAAGCCCCGGCUAACUACGUGCCAGCAGCCGCGGUAAUACGUAGGGGGCAAGCGUUGUCCGGAAUUAUUGGGCGUAAAGCGCGCGCAGGCGGUCCUUUAAGUCUUGUGUUUAAUGUCAGGGCUCAACCCUGAUUCGCAUGGGAAACUGGGGGACUGGAGUGCAGGAGAGGAAAGUGGAAUUCCACGUGUAGCGGUGAAAUGCGUAGAGAUGUGGAGGAACACCAGUGGCGAAGGCGACUUUCUGGCCUGUAACUGACGCUGAGGCGCGAAAGCGUGGGGAGCAAACAGG
rnacentral:rRNA from 1 species